CCGAAGAACCCCUGUAACAAAUAACGAAAUCAGAGAAAAUAGAGCCGGUGGUGAGACCAAAAAGCAUUUCCGAAGAAGAUGAUGUCCAUGCCACUUCGGUUUUGUCAUAAUAAAAGAAGGAAAAGUGAAACACAUGUGAAGCUCAAGCAAUCAGUUUCAGUGCUACCUCCUGAAUUAAAUGAUUGUUCUACUUACUCUUCAUAAUGGAAUACUAGAUUGCUGGCCACUUCAAUCUCAAUUAUCCGAUGGUUUUGAUCAUCCAAUCAGUUUAGGGGUAAAUAUCCAAGAGCUGAUUGAUUGCCAAGAGCUGGAGGAAAAAAGAGAAAGAUAUGGAAUCUUCUAAUUUAAAAAACACAAUGAGUCUCAGGGUGAAGGGUAAAUAGCCAGGUGGAGUAGAAAUAUCUAAUCCUGAUUAUGAUUUUUCUUUAUCAUGAUAAAUGACCCCACUCAUUGUUUGCUAUAUAUUGCCUGUUGUCUUUGUGCCUCGAUAUUUCUUCUGGUUCUGAAAUCCUGUUCUGUGGGAGAUUCAUUUACAGGAGCUUUUGUUGCUAAUUACUUCUUUGAUCUUUCUUGCAUGUACUUUUUUAUUUUAUUUUUUAAAAAUAAAUUUCUAACCCAUGAGGCAUGCAUCUUCUGGUGUACAGGUAUGUCUUAUAUGAUUCUCAUCAUUUCCGUUAUCUGUAUUGUUUUUCUUCUUCCACACUUAACUAUUUUCUGGCAUUAUGUGCGGUAAAUUCUUCACGAGUAUUUGAUUCAAUCCACAUGGCACUUGCCUAUUGUAUUUCGAAAUCCAUAUGAUUUGUGCUUGUCAUUUUCUGUCACCAAUAGAAGAAACUUCACAACUUGAUCCUUGUAU